rnacentral:misc_RNA from 3 species
AACGCACAUUGCGCUUCCUGGUAUUCCGGGGAGCAUGCUCGUUUCAGAAUCAGUAAAACAACCCAACACUUUGCUGUUUUAUAAACAACAAUAUGCUGGUUUUAUGGUGUGUUUGUCUAUGUAAAUAGACAAUCCACUAAAAAAUUCUGGAUGCUUGGAUCAGUCUUUUAUGAUGUGAGUCUAUACACUGCAACAGAUAAUGAAUCAGUAUAUAGGAGCAUGACAUGAAAACUCUUUUGAGUAUCUUCAAAUCAUUUAAGAUUGGAUGUGCUUUUGCCCAUUCAACUCUUCAACUUGGUCUGAAAUCGAGCAAGAAAACCCGCUGAACUUAA